UACAGAGGGUGCAAGCGUUAUUCGGAAUUACUGGGCGUAAAGAGCGCGUAGGCGGUCUUGUUAGUCGAUUGUGAAAUCCCUUAGCUCAACUAAGGAACUGCACUCGAUACUGCAAGGCUAGAGUAUGGGAGGGGAGAACGGAAUUCCUGGUGUAGAGGUGAAAUUCGUAGAUAUCAGGAGGAACAACAGUGGCGAAGGCGGUUCUCUGGACCAUUACUGACGCUGAGGCGCGAAAGCGUGGGGAGCAAACAGG
rnacentral:rRNA from 1 species